UACGUAGGGCGCAAGCGUUAUCCGGAAUUAUUGGGCGUAAAGAGCUCGUAGGCGGUUUGUCGCGUCUGCCGUGAAAGUCCGGGGCUCAACUCCGGAUCUGCGGUGGGUACGGGCAGACUAGAGUGAUGUAGGGGAGACUGGAAUUCCUGGUGUAGCGGUGAAAUGCGCAGAUAUCAGGAGGAAUACCUAUGGCGAAAGCAGGUAUCUGGGCCAUCACUGACGCUGAGCUGCGAAAGCUAGGGGAGCAAACAGG
rnacentral:rRNA from 1 species